rnacentral:rRNA from 1 species
GUAGGUGGCAAGCGUUGUCCGGAAUUAUUGGGCGUAAAGCGCGCGCAGGCGGUUCUUUAAGUCUGAUGUGAAAGCCCACGGCUCAACCGUGGAGGGUCAUUGGAAACUGGAGAACUUGAGUACGGAAGAGGAAAGCGGAAUUCCACGUGUAGCGGUGAAAUGCGUAGAGAUGUGGAGGAACACCAGUGGCGAAGGCGGCUUUCUGGUCUGUAACUGACGCUGAGGCGCGAAAGCGUGGGGAGCAAACAGGGAUUAGAUACCCUGGUAGUCCACGCCGUAAACGAUGAGUGCUAAGUGUUAGGGGGUUUCCGCCCCCUUAGUGCUGCAGCUAACGCAUUAAGCACUCCGCCUGGGGAUACGGCCGCAAGGCUG